ACCUAUCAUGACUGGAGAUCCCAAGACGUAGGUUCAAAGGGAAAACAAAAUCAAACAGAAUCUAACCAAAGCACUUGAGACAAGUAGUUUCUUCCCAGCUCCUAAGAUGAUAAAAGUGCUAACAAAUGUGAGAAGGAUAAGCAUAAGCUUUUAAUGAUUCCAUAGCUUCUUAAGCGGAGUAUUACUCAAUACUUUUCAUGGUCAAUCACCUAAUGAGUGUGAAAUGAGGCCGUUUCUAGGAGAAUGAAUGCAAGGCUAUAUUCUCUAAGUUCACUCAUGAAAACCAGGAAUAGUUCAGGGCCACAAUGAACACAAUAGAGAACUAAGUUCUACGAGA
rnacentral:lncRNA from 1 species